rnacentral:rRNA from 1 species
GAUGAACGCUGGCGGCGUGCCUAAUACAUGCAAGUCGAGCGAAGCGGGGACGCGUGAGUAACACGUGGAUAACCUCCUAUAAGACUGGGAUAACUUAGUGAAACCGGUGCCAAACCGGAUUCUGAUAGCUGGAUCCAUGCUGCAUUAGCUAGUUGGUAGGGUAACGGCUUACCAAGGCAACGGUGCAUAGCCGACCUGAGAGGAUGAUCGGCCACACUGGAACUGAGACACGGUCCAGACUCCUACGGGAGGCAGCAGUGGGGAAUCUUGCGCAAUGGGCGAAAGCCUGACGGAGCAACGCCGCGUGAGUGAUGAAGGUCUUCGGAUCGUAAAACUCUGUUAUUAGGGAAGCGGUACCUGAACAGAAAGCCACGGCUAACUACGUGCCAGCAGCCGCGGUAAUUC